CGCUGUGCCUCGAGGAUUAGUUUAAACAGCGGGCUAUAAAAGAUGUAACAGAUGCAAACUGUAACACAAGGGCCAUUAACCCUUUCUCUGCCGCCCAGCACGCCCAGUCCCUACACCCUGCACCUAUUGUCUCCGGUGCCACAAGCUUUGCGGAAAACCUGGAAAUUUUGGCCAGAAAUGGUGAGAAGAAAAAGCAUGAAGAAGCCGCGAAGUGUGGGGGAGAAAAAGGUGGAGGCGAAGAAACAGCUCCCGGAGCAAACUGAACAAAACCUCGCCAAGAGUGUCUGGAGGCAGGACCGUUAUUCCUGCCGAGCAGGGGAGAGAAGAGAGACCCUGAAACACGCGCCACCUAUCUUUGUGGGGAGGGAUAAUUGAAGCGCCCUGAGCGUGAGCAUCAUGUGAAAACGUGAUCGCCAAGUUUCUCUCUGGGAAAGGAUCUGGGAUAGAUUAUACCUUGAAGUCUCCGCAAACGCUUUAGUGGAAGAAAUGAAAUCCCCCCCCCCCCCCCCCCCCCCCCCCCCCCCCCCCCCCCCCCCCCCCCCCCCCCCCCCCCCGUCAAGCAAGCCUUUGGCAUCAUUAUCCUCAUCACUAAAUCCUGCAGAGUACUGGGCGGAAAACGGUGCACACCAUUCACAGAACUGGAGAACUCCAAGGGGCGAAAGUUAAAGGGAAAGCUCUCGGGUCUUCCAUGCAGAUCUCUUGUCUUAUACAGAUAUCUCUGGUGACUAGGUUUGAGGUGCACGUCAAGUUGUAUGGAUACCUCAAGCACCGUUUUUGGAACUAAAUUCUUGCCCUUUCUCUUAUUACAUUUUUUUUUUUAAAGAUGCCAGAACUAGGGGAGGGAAAUGCUACUUGUACACUGCAUCUUAGGAUCUCAGUGUGCAGUGUAUGUGUGUAUGUGUGUGUGUGUGGGGGGGAGAUUUUCUGGAUUGGAUCCCUAUAUUAAAAGUUUGGCAUUUUAAUAAAGGGUCUCUAGGUUAACAUAGAGCUGUACUAUGCUGGCCAAUCUCUGGACCCCUCUACACCUCAUGCAGACCACAUUACAAAGUGAGGGGACAGGGGCAGGAGGAAGAAGGAGAAAGGUCAGAGGAACUUAGGACGAAAGAAAGAAGAGGGUGACACUAAACUGUGUGGGGUCUAAGUUUUGAAGUGCAUAUUUUUGAUAUUGCAAUUAAACUAAAAUUAAAAAGAAAAGACUCCACCUUUGCUCUGAAGGGAUUGGUUAUGCAAAUAUGGAAGGGAUUUCCUGGAGAAUACAGCUUUCUACUGUAUGGUUAAUUAAAUAAUCACUCAAAAA
ensembl:antisense Zeb2os zinc finger E-box binding homeobox 2, opposite strand